rnacentral:rRNA from 1 species
CCUACGGGUGGCAGCAGUGAGGAAUAUUGGUCAAUGGACGAGAGUCUGAACCAGCCAAGUAGCGUGAAGGAUGACUGCCCUCUGGGUUGUAAACUUCUUUUAUAUGGGAAUAAAAUGUUCCAUGUGUGGGAUUUUGUAUGUACCAUAUGAAUAAGGAUCGGCUAACGCCGUGCCAGCAGCCGCGGUAAUAUGGAGGAUCCGAGCGUUAUCCGGAUUUAUUGGGGUUAAAGGGAGCGUAGGUGGAUUGUUAAGGCAGUUGUGAAAGUGUGCGGCUCAACCGUAGAAUUGCAGUUGAAACUGGCAGUCUUGAGUACAGUAGAGGUAGGCGGAAUGCGUGGUGUAGCGGUGAAAUGCUUAGAUAUCACGAAGAACUCCGAUUGCGAAGGCAGUUCACUGGACUGCAACUGACACUGAGGCUCGAAAGUGUGGGUAUCAAACAGGAUUAGAUACCCCGGUAGUC